rnacentral:rRNA from 1 species
UACGGGGGGGGCAAGCGUUGUUCGGAAUUACUGGGCGUAAAGGGCUCGUAGGCGGCCAACUAAGUCGGACGUGAAAUCCCUCGGCUUAACCGAGGAACUGCGUCCGAUACUGGAUGGCUUGAGUUCGGGAGAGGGAUGCGGAAUUCCAGGUGUAGCGGUGAAAUGCGUAGAUAUCUGGAGGAACACCGGUGGCGAAGGCGGCAUCCUGGACCGAUACUGACGCUGAGGAGCGAAAGCGUGGGGAGCAAACAGG